rnacentral:rRNA from 1 species
AUUGAACGCUGGCGGCAUGCCUUACACAUGCAAGUCGAACGGCAGCACGGGAGCAAUCCUGGUGGCGAGUGGCGAACGGGUGAGUAAUGUAUCGGAACGUACCUUUCAGUGGGGGAUAACGUAGCGAAAGUUACGCUAAUACCGCAUAUUCUGUGAGCAGGAAAGCAGGGGAUCGCAAGACCUUGCGCUGAUUGAGCGGCCGAUAUCAGAUUAGCUAGUUGGUGAGGUAAAGGCUCACCAAGGCGACGAUCUGUAGCGGGUCUGAGAGGAUGAUCCGCCACACUGGAACUGAGACACGGUCCAGACUCCUACGGGAGGCAGCAGUGGGAAUUUUGGACAAUGGGCGCAAGCCUGAUCCAGCCAUGCCGCGUGAGUGAAGAAGGCCUCGGUU